UACGUAGGGGGCUAGCGUUGUCCGGAUUUAUUGGGCGUAAAGAGCGUGUAGGUGGCCAGGUAGGUCUGGUGUGAAAACUCGAGGCUUAACCUCGAGAUGUCAUCGGAAACCAUUUGGCUAGAGUCCGGAAGAGGAGAGUGGAAUUCCUGGUGUAGCGGUGAAAUGCGCAGAUAUCAGGAAGAACACCAAUGGCGAAAGCAGCUCUCUGGGGACGGUACUGACGCUGAGACGCGAAAAGCGUGGGGAGCGAACAGG
rnacentral:rRNA from 1 species